rnacentral:lncRNA from 1 species
CUCACUUGACUUCAACACUUACAGAAUUGACUACUCAGAUAAGAGAGAGCCAUCUCGCAGGGAAAUAUGGAAAAGCAAUACUCCACAAACCUCAAGGGCAAGAAGAGUUCCUCCAAAGUUGUCUGAGUCUGGACGCACUCCAUCACUAGCCAUCUGCGAGGUGAUCAAUACAGCAACACAGAAAGGACAGAAGGAUUGGAAGUCUAACCUCCUGGGAAGCUACGCCUGCUACAAUGCUGACUUCACCUCGUCAGACUCUGAUGUCACCUCUCCAGAUGCUGCCGUCCUCACCUACAAGAUAAGGAAGACCAACAACAUAAUCUUAAAUGUUCCAUGAAGUUCUAAAGUGGCAAGGUCCUGUUUUAGGCAUGUGAAAUUAGACGGCUAAACAUUGUGCUUUCUAAAAUCCUCCCUUGUCCUAACAUUCCAAAGUUUCAUAAACAUA